UAAGGUUCUGUAUCGAAUAACCGCGUGCUU
rnacentral:sRNA from 1 species